rnacentral:rRNA from 1 species
AAUGAACGCUGGCGGCGUGCCUAACACAUGCAAGUCGAGCGAGAAAGUGGCUUCGGCCAUGAGUACAGCGGCGAACGGGUGAGUAACACGUGGAUAACCUGCCUAGGAGUGGGGGAUAACUCGGGGAAACCUGAGCUAAUACCGCAUACGCCUUCUGGAUUUCGAUCCAGAUUGGAAAGGUUGCCUCUUCUCGAAAGCUAUCGCUCCUAGAGGGGUCCGCGCCUGAUAGCUAGUUGGUGAGGUAAUGGCUCACCAAGGCGACGAUCAGUAGCCGGCCUGAGAGGGUGAUCGGCCACACUGGAACUGAGACACGGUCCAGACUCCUACGGGAGGCAGCAGUGGGGAAUAUUGCGCAAUGGGGAAACCCUGACGCAGCAACGCCGCGUGGAGGAUGAAGGCCUCGGUCGUAACUACCU